AGAACGAACGCUGGCGGCAUGCCUAAUACAUGCAAGUCGAACGAACUCUUCGGAGUUAGUGGCGCACGGGUGCGUAACGCGUGGGAAUCUGCCCCUUGGUUCGGAAUAACAGUUGGAAACGACUGCUAAUACCGGAUGAUGACGAAAGUCCAAAGAUUUAUCGCCAAGGGAUGAGCCCGCGUAGGAUUAGCUAGUUGGUGAGGUAAAGGCUCACCAAGGCAACGAUCCUUAGCUGGUCUGAGAGGAUGAUCAGCCACACUGGGACUGAGACACGGCCCAGACUCCGUACGGGAGCAGCAAGGUAGGGAAUAUAGGACAAGUGGGACGAAAGCCUGAUCCAGCAAUCGCCGCGGUGAGUGAUAGGAAGUCCGUUUAAGGUAGUAAAGUCCUUACCUUUUAACCGGAGUAUAGAAUUAAGUGACAGUUAGACGGA
rnacentral:rRNA from 1 species